rnacentral:rRNA from 1 species
GGUUAAGCGAAUAAGCGUACACGGUGGAUGCCUAGGCAGUCAGAGGCGAUGAAGGACGUGCUAAUCUGCGAUAAGCGCCGGUAAGGUGAUAUGAACCGUUAUAACCGGCGAUUUCCGAAUGGGGAAACCCAGUGCAAUUCGUUGCACUAUCAUUACCUGAAUACAUAGGGUAAUGAAGCGAACCGGGAGAACUGAAACAUCUAAGUACCCCGAGGAAAAGAAAUCAAACGAGAUUCCCCCAGUAGCGGCGAGCGAACGGGGAGCAGCCCAGGACCUUAAUCAGCAUCAGUGUUAAGAGAACAGUCUGGAAAGGCUGGCCACAGCAGGUGAUAGCCCUGUAUCUGAAAGCACUGGUGUUGUGAGUCCGAUGAGUAAGGCGGGACACGUGUUAUCCUGUCUGAAUACGGGGGGACCAUCCUCCAAGGCUAAAUACUCCUGACUGACCGAUAGUGAACCAGUACCGUGAGGGAAAGGCGAAAAGAACCCCGGCGAGGGGAGUGAAAAAGAACCUGAAACCGUGUACGUACAAGCAGUGGGAGCACCUUUAUGGUGUGACUGCGUACCUUUUGUAUAAUGGGUCAGCGACUUAUAUUCUGUAGCAAGGUUAACCGGAUAGGGGAGCCGCAGGGAAACCGAGUCUUAACUGGGCGAAUUAGUUGCAGGGUAUAGACCCGAAACCCGGUGAUCUAGCCAUGGGCAGGUUGAAGGUUGGGUAACACUAACUGGAGGACCGAACCGACUAAUGUUGAAAAAUUAGCGGAUGACUUGUGGCUGGGGGUGAAAGGCCAAUCAAACCGGGAGAUAGCUGGUUCUCCCCGAAAGCUAUUUAGGUAGCGCCUCGUGAAUUCAUCUCCGGGGGUAGAGCACUGUUUCGGCUAGGGGGUCAUCCCGACUUACCAACCCGAUGCAAACUGCGAAUACCGGAGAAUGUUAUCACGGGAGACACACGGCGGGUGCUAACGUUCGUCGUGAAGAGGGAAACAACCCAGACCGCCGGCUAAGGUCCCAAAGUCAUAAUUAAGUGGGAAACGAAGUGGGAAGGCUCAGACAGCCAGGAUGUUGGCUUAGAAGCAGCCAUCAUUUAAAGAAAGCGUAAUAGCUCACUGGUCGAGUCGGCCUGCGCGGAAGAUGUAACGGGGCUAAAUUAUGCACCGAAGCCGCGGCAGCGAUAUGUAAAUAUUGUUGGGUAGGGGAGCGUUCUGUAAGCCUGUGAAGGUGGCCUGUGAGGGUUGCUGGAGGUAUCAGAAGUGCGAAUGCUGACAUAAGUAACGAUAAUGCGGGUGAAAAACCCGCACGCCGGAAGACCAAGGGUUCCUGUCCAACGUUAAUCGGGGCAGGGUGAGUCGACCCCUAAGGCGAGGCUGAAAAGCGUAGUCGAUGGGCAACGGGUUAAUAUUCCCGUACUGGUGGUAACUGCGAAGGGGGGACGGAGAAAGCUAAAUCAUCCGGGCGACGGUUGUCCCGGUUUAAGCGUGCAGGUGGACUGACCAGGCAAAUCCGGUCGGUUGUUAACACUGAGGCGUGACGACGAGCCACUACGGUGGUGAAGUGAUUGAUGCUCUGCUUCCGGGAAAAGCCUCUAAGCUCCAGGUUACCAUUAAUCGUACCCCAAACCGACACAGGUGGUCAGGUAGAGAAUACUCAGGCGCUUGAGAGAACUCGGGUGAAGGAACUAGGCAAAAUGGUGCCGUAACUUCGGGAGAAGGCACGCUGGCACUAGGUGAAGUGGUUUACCCAUGGAGCUGAAGCCAGCCGCAGAUACCAGCUGGCUGCAACUGUUUAUUAAAAACACAGCACUGUGCAAACACGAAAGUGGACGUAUACGGUGUGACGCCUGCCCGGUGCCGGAAGGUUAAUUGAUGAGGUCAGCCGCAAGGCGAAGCUUCUGAUCGAAGCCCCGGUAAACGGCGGCCGUAACUAUAACGGUCCUAAGGUAGCGAAAUUCCUUGUCGGGUAAGUUCCGACCUGCACGAAUGGCGUAAUGAUGGCCAGGCUGUCUCCACCCGAGACUCAGUGAAAUUGAACUCGCUGUGAAGAUGCAGUGUACCCGCGGCAAGACGGAAAGACCCCGUGAACCUUUACUAUAGCUUGACACUGAACAUUGAGCCUUGAUGUGUAGGAUAGGUGGGAGGCAACGAAGUGUGGACGCCAGUCUGCACGGAGCCAUCCUUGAAAUACCACCCUUUAACGUUUGAUGUUCUAACCCGGGUCCAUAAUCUGGAUCGGGGACCGUGUCUGGUGGGUAGUUUGACUGGGGCGGUCUCCUCCCAAAGAGUAACGGAGGAGCACGAAGGUUGGCUAAGCAUGGUCGGACAUCAUGCGGUUAGUGCAAAGGCAUAAGCCAGCUUGACUGCGAGAGUGACGGCUCGAGCAGGUACGAAAGUAGGUCUUAGUGAUCCGGUGGUUCUGAAUGGAAGGGCCAUCGCUCAACGGAUAAAAGGUACUCCGGGGAUAACAGGCUGAUACCGCCCAAGAGUUCAUAUCGACGGCGGUGUUUGGCACCUCGAUGUCGGCUCAUCACAUCCUGGGGCUGAAGUAGGUCCCAAGGGUAUGGCUGUUCGCCAUUUAAAGUGGUACGCGAGCUGGGUUUAGAACGUCGUGAGACAGUUCGGUCCCUAUCUGCCGUGGGCGCUGGAAGAUUGAGAGGGGUUGCUCCUAGUACGAGAGGACCGGAGUGAACGCACCACUGGUGUACGGGUUGUGAUGCCAAUUGCAUUGCCCGGUAGCUAAGUGCGGAAGAGAUAACCGCUGAAAGCAUCUAAGCGGGAAACUUGCCUCGAGAUGAGUCUUCCCUGACCCUUUAAGGGUCCUGAAGGAACGUUUGAGACUAAGACGUUGAUAGGCUGGGUGUGUAAGCGCAGCGAUGCGUUGAGCUGACCAGUACUAAUGAACCGAGAGGCUUAACCUGACAACACCGAAGGUGUUUUG